rnacentral:rRNA from 1 species
GUGGGGAAUAUUGGACAAUGGGCGCAAGCCUGAUCCAGCCAUGCCGCGUGAGUGAUGAAGGCCUUAGGGUUGUAAAGCUCUUUCAGUGGGGACGAUAAUGACGGUACCCACAGAAGAAGCCCCGGCUAACUUCGUGCCAGCAGCCGCGGUAAUACGAAGGGGGCUAGCGUUGUUCGGAUUUACUGGGCGUAAAGCGCACGUAGGCGGGUAUUUAAGUCAGGGGUGAAAUCCCGGAGCUCAACUCCGGAACUGCCUUUGAUACUGGGUACCUAGAGUAUGGAAGAGGUAAGUGGAAUUCCGAGUGUAGAGGUGAAAUUCGUAGAUAUUCGGAGGAACACCAGUGGCGAAGGCGGCUUACUGGUCCAUUACUGACGCUGAGGUGCGAAAGCGUGGGGAGCAAACAGGAUUAGAUACCCCUGUAGUCC